AUUGAACGCUGGCGGCAGGCCUAACGCAUGCAAGUCGAACGGUAGCACAGAGAGCUUGCUCUCGGGUGACGAGUGGCGGACGGGUGAGUAACGUCUGGGAAACUGCCCGAUGGAGGGGGAUAACUACUGGAAACGGUAGCUAAUACCGCAUAACGUCGCCAGACCAAAGUGGGGGACCUUCGGGCCUCACACCAUCGGAUGUGCCCAGAUGGGAUUAGCUAGUAGGUGGGGUAAUGGCUCACCUAGGCGACGAUCCCUAGCUGGUCUGAGAGGAUGACCAGCCACACUGGAACUGAGACACGGUCCAGACUCCUACGGGAGGCAGCAGUGGGGAAUAUUGCACAAUGGGCGCAAGCCUGAUGCAGCCAUGCCGCGUGUAUGAAGAAGGCCUUCGGGUUGUAAAGUACUUUCAGCGGGGAGGAAGGCGGUGAAGUUAAUAACUUCACCGAUUGACGUUACCCGCAGAAGAAGCACCGGCUAACUCCGUGCCAGCAGCCGCCGCUG
rnacentral:rRNA from 1 species